rnacentral:rRNA from 1 species
GACAGAGGGUGCAAGCGUUAAUCGGAGUUACUGGGCGUAAAGGGCGCGUAGGCGGUCUUUUUAGUUGGAUGUGAAAGCCCUGGGCUUAACCUAGGAACUGCAUUCAAUACUGGAAGACUAGAGUAUUGUAGAGGGUAGUGGAAUUUCCGGUGUAGCGGUGAAAUGCGUAGAGAUCGGAAGGAACACCAGUGGCGAAGGCGGCUACCUGGACAAAUACUGACGCUGAGGCGCGAAAGCGUGGGGAGCAAACAGG